AAACGCAUAAGUCCGACGCUGUAUCGAC
rnacentral:sRNA from 1 species